GACGAACGCUGGCGGCGUGCCUAAUACAUGCAAGUCGAACGAGUGGCGGACGGGUGAGUAACACGUGGGAACCUACCCAUCAGAGGGGGACAACACUUGGAAACUGGUGCUAAUACCGCCUACUACCGGAUUAACCCAUACGGGAUUAGCUGGUGGGUGGUGUAAAGGCUCACCAAGGCGACGUUCUCUAGCUGGGCUGAGAGGAUGAUCAGCCACACUGGAACUGAGACACGGCCCAGACUCCUACGGGAGGCAGCAGUGGGGAAUAUUGCACAAUGGGGGCAAGCCUGAUGCAGCCAUGCCGCGUGUAUGAAGAAGGCCUUAGGGUUGUAAAGUACUUUCGGCGGGGAGGCGUUACCCGCAGAAGAAGCACCGGCUAACUCCGUGCCAGCAGCCGCGGUAAUUC
rnacentral:rRNA from 1 species